rnacentral:misc_RNA from 1 species
GCUUCGAUGGCCUCCGAGCUCCAGGCUCUGUCGUCACAGGUUUCGGGAUUUCAGGCGAGGUCGCUUCGUGACCACUGCUAAGCACACGUGCCUUUGGUGGAUUCUCUGGAUAUUUGCUUCGAGAGACCAUAGGCAAGGACUGCCUGCGGUUUGAGCUGGUGGGAACGGGUGUCUCUGAAUUCGAGUUCGACUUGACUGUCA